GACGAACGCUGGCGGCGUGCUUAACACAUGCAAGUCGAACGGAAAGGCCCUGCUUUUGUGGGGUGCUCGAGUGGCGAACGGGUGAGUAACACGUGAGUAACCUGCCCUUGACUUUGGGAUAACUUCAGGAAACUGGGGCUAAUACCGGAUAGGAGCUCCUGCUGCAUGGUGGGGGUUGGAAAGUUUCGGCGGUUGGGGAUGGACUAGCGGCUUAUCAGCUUGUUGGUGGGGUAGUGGCUUACCAAGGCUUUGACGGGUAGCCGGCCUGGGAGGGUGACCGGCCACAUUGGGACUGAGAUACGGCCCAGACUCCUACGGGAGGCAGCAGUGGGGAAUAUUGCACAAUGGGCGGAAGCCUGAGGCAGCAACGCCGCGUGCGGGAUGACGGCCUUCGGGUUGUAAACCGCUUUCGCCUGUGACGAAGCGUGAGUGACGGUAAUGGGUAAAGAAGCACCGGCUAACUACGUG
rnacentral:rRNA from 1 species